rnacentral:rRNA from 1 species
GAUGAACGCUGGCGGCGUGCCUAAUACACGCAAGUCGAGCGAACAGAUGAGGAGCUUGCUCCUCUGACGUUAGCGGCGGACGGGUGAGUAACACGUGGAUAACCUACCUAUAAGACUGGGAUAACUUCGGGAAACCGGAGCUAAUACCGGAUAAUAUAUUGAACCGCAUGGUUCAAUAGUGAAAGACGGUUUUGCUGUCACUUAUAGAUGGAUCCGCGCCACAUUAGCUAGUUGGUAAGGUAACGGCUUACCAAGGCGACGAUGCGUAGCCGACCUGAGAGGGGGAUCGGCCACACGGGAACUGAGACACGGCCCAGACCCCUAGGGGAGGCAGAAGUGGGGAAUCUGCCGAAAGGGGGGAAAGCCUGACGGAGCAACGCCGGGGGGGUGAUGAAGGUCUUCGGAUCGAAAAACUUUGUUAUUAGGGAAGAAAAAAUGUGUAAGUAACUAUGCCCGUUUGGACGGUCCCUAAUCAGAAAACCACGGCUAACUACGG